UACGUAGGAGACGAGCGUUGUCCGGAGUUACUGGGCGUAAAGGGUGCGCAGGUGGCGGCGCGCGUGGGGGGUGAAAUCGCCCGGCUUAACUGGGCGGGGGCCUUCCAGACGGCGUGGCUUGAGCAGCGGAGGGGGACGUGGAAUUCCGGGUGUAGCGGUGGAAUGCGUAGAGAUCCGGAAGAACACCGGUGGCGAAGGCGGCCUGCUGGGCAGUUUUGCUGACACUGAGGCGCGACAGCGUGGGGAGCAAACAGG
rnacentral:rRNA from 1 species